UGUAAAUAUAUGUUCAGUGGCUUGCAAGUAGAUUUCCUUAGAGGCAUUUCUGCCAUGAGAAUACAUUAUUAUGAACUUUAGGUUUAAAGUAAAUUGUUUGAUUAGAAUGUAGUUUUAGAACCUUCCCAUAGAGGCUUUGUUUUCUAGAACCAUUGUUAGAAAUCAGAUUUAUGCAUUAGAGUUUCAUGCUACCACGUUUAUAGCAACCUAGGACAUUUUUUAAACCUUCCCAUAGAAAAUUUUUCUAAUCAUUGACUGAACCUAGAUUUAUUCUUUAUAUUUUAGUAGUAUAUUUUAGUAACCAGGAUUUUUUUUAAAUAGAAACUAGGCAAAAUUAGUCAUUUUUAAUCUGUUUUCGUUGCAUGUCUACAUAUUGAUAGAAAAGUCUAGAAACCUGUCAUCUUGGGCAUGAAGACAUAAGUUUAGCAUACUCUUCUAAUUCUACAUUAUUUUGUGAUCAACAUUUGAUAUCUAAUUGCCUAAAAAUAGUAUGCCAAUAUGUUUCACUCAUGUAGCAUCAUCUUUUUAUUAAC
rnacentral:lncRNA from 1 species